AGGAAGAUGAACUAAUAGGCAAAGAAGAGGAAGUCGACGAAGAGAAAAAAGAGAUCCAAGAACAAGCCGAAGAAGUGAGAGAGUUCCAGAGAGAAAUCGAGGAAGAAAAAGCUGAGCUUGCCGAAGAGAAGAAAGAACUUCA
rnacentral:ribozyme from 1 species